rnacentral:rRNA from 1 species
AUUGGGAAGUUAUCUUGUCCAGCGAAGGUGAAAUUUUUUAUUUGGCGGACGCUGCAUGGUACUCUUCCAUGUCGUGUCACGCUUGCUAAUAGACACAUGAAAGUUUCACCUUUAUGCCCUUGUUGUGCUUCUGGUUUAGAAGACACAAAUCAUAUGUUGUUUCAGUGCUAGAAGGCAAAAGAGGUCUGGAGAAGGCUUGGAUUAGACGAGAUCAUUGCUCAAGCUUGUGAAGUUGAUCGUGCUGGAGAGGCGGUCCUCGGGUUUUUGUUGCUCAUGCCUGACCAAGAUUUAUCUAUUAUGGGGUUGCAGAAUACUCGGGAGAUGAUUGCCAUUACGUCUUGGUAUUUAUGGUGGGAAAGACAUAAAUUAGUGCACAAGGAAAGAAUUCAAGAUGCAAAACAGAUUUCAAUGGGGGUACAAGCUCUUACAGCUAAUUAUGUUGUUGCUUCCAGUCCAAGGGCUUCUAUGAAAAGAGGGGGUUGGAUUCGUCCCCUGGUGGGUUUUGUGAAACUUAAUGUUGAUGCUUCUUUUAAUCAUGAUCUUCUUAAAGGUACGGAGGGGGCUGUCCAGAGGAACGACAAAAGGAACUUUAUUGCAGGGGGUACUUGGAAAAUUGAUCAUUGCAUCGAUGCUCUAACAGCAGAAGCUUGGGCUCUCAGAUUCGGUCUUUCACUAGCGCAACGUGCGGGUUGCAAUCGUCUAGUUAUUAAUUCUGAUAAUUUGGAGGUUAUUGAAACGAUGAAUAAUGGCGGACGGUCAGCAGGAGCGGCGGCGGCAACCUUUGAUGAUUGCUAUUUUUGGCGUGUGAUUUUCCUACCUCUAGGUUUGAACAUUGUAAUAGGGAAGCCAAUAGACUACAUAAAACAAAGGGUUAAAGGUUUAGUUGGAUUGACUGAAAACGCUGUAAGAAAGUCCCUACAUGUUAGCCUCAGAUGUACGAACUUUGACUGA